CAGAGGUGGCGAGCGUUGUUCGGAUUUACUGGGCGUAAAGGGUGCGUAGGCGGCUCCGCGUGUCGGGUGUGAAAUCCAACGGAUUAUCCGUUGAACUGCACACGAAACUGUGGAGCUUGAGGACAGGAGAGGAAGGCGGAAUUCACGGUGUAGCGGUGAAAUGCGUUGAUAUCGUGAAGAACGCCGGUGGCGAAGGCGGCCUUCUGGACUGUUUCUGACGCUGAGGCACGAAAGCUAGGGGAGCAA
rnacentral:rRNA from 1 species